GCCGCCGCCGCCGAGAUCUAAAAUUUCCCCCGCGCCGCGAGCAGCGCGCUUCCACCGCCGCCUAAUCCUCAGCCUCGCUGCCUCCUCCACCACCGCGCUCCAAUCGGAUCCAGUUCUUUGCCGGCCAUUACCUGCGCCUCCCCGACUGCCUUUUGCCGCCCCCACCUCCGCCUCCGAGACCUAGAUCCCACCGCCGCACACAUCCCCGCCCAGCUCGCUGGUCGCCUGUACCUCCGCCCCCACUUGACCUAUCCUUCCCGCUCAGCUCGACCGCCUGUUCCUCGUGGAUACUUCCCCCCUCUCCCGCGUCGUUAACCUCCCCGUCGGCAGUCGCGAAGAAAACCCACGCCCGUUACACGAGUCCCCAAUCUUCCUCUACGUCAUCGGCCUCAAGAGUACGAUGUCCAUGCAACCCCGCGAGCCACAACACACCUUGACUGAACUUCUCCAGCUCCUUCGGAAGGUUCUCUGCACUAGUCACAUAUAAAGGCAAGCAGGAGCCUGCAUGGUCGUGAAAGCAUGAGAUGGCUAAGGAUCCCGCUACAUAUUGGGAGAGGUGGUUAGACAACCUUGUACAACAAGUGGAGGAGGAAUUCUGGAAUUACUAUAGAUGGCAAGAAGGCACUGAGGUUGCUGCAAGAAGGGCUGUUCACAACUCAAUCAAAAAAAUAUAGAUGAUAUGAUAUAUGAGGCACGGGUUUAGGCUGUAGUGGACUAUUAAUUUUUUUGUUUUAAAAACAGAGAUAUGUCGGCCGAACGCUUGUAGGACUUAUCUUACUGUGGAUCAGUAUAUGGAGGUUCUUGAUUGGAUUAUGUAUUUUGGGCACUUCGCUGGUGCCAUCUUCCUCGAGGAGGGAAAGAAUAUCAGUGAAGGGUUUCUCUAUUGUAAGAUUUCUAAAUUCCUCAUUUAUUGUCUAUCCAAGCAAGAAUAGUCCUCAUGUCGUUAUGGAUGAAUGACAUAUUGUCUUGAACAUCCUAGAAGGACGAUGCUCCUGAUGCCUGUAGAACCUUUUGAACCUAAUAAAUCAUGCUAUGUCUGCUCUGAGACCCCUCUUCUGCUGGAUGUCAACACUAAGGCCACGAAGCUUAGGGAGGUUAUCGACAAGAUUAUAAAAAGCAAACUUGGAAUGAUCCUCUCGUUGGUAAUGAUUGGAUCUACACUUGUUUUUGAGGAUGGUGAUGGCUUAGAGGAAGACGAGGCUGCAAACUAUGCUUCAAACCUUGAGAAUGUACUAUCCUCAUAGACUCAUAAUGUUUCCUGUUCAAGGCAAGGGCCAAUGGAACAAUGCACUCCAAUGCCAUUUCUGUCCUUUUUGGACUGUGCCCUUGCGUUUCCAUAUUGUCGAUCAACUAUUACAGGUCUUGACUGAACUGUCAGCUCCAGUAUUAAUGGCACAAAGCUUGCUGUUGAGGAUUUCCGGCAGGAGUUGUCAUGCAACAUUAACAUCAAGCACAGGGAGGAGUUUGAUGAGGAGAAAGAGCCUGACAAAAUGGUUUCAUCUGGAUGGUCUGCUCUUGUGGAGGGACAGAUUAACAGUAAUGGGGAGAACAAAUCGACAGCUUCAUCCUGUGCGCAUUCCACUGAUGACACUAUUGAGGAUCCAUCGACUAAACCUGGGAUGAAGCGCAAGCUGGGUGAAAUGUUGGAAAUAAAGGAAAACUAUCAUGCAUCCAGCAGUGCUUAGGUGUUUUGGUCUAGUUGAUGUGUGGUCUAUGCUAUAGCAGAUUGUAUAUCCUGAUUCAAGUGUUCUAGCAAUUUAGCAAAUUAAGCUAGCCUUUCUUUGAAUUCAUGGCCGGUAUGAAUACGAUGUAUGGUGAAGUUUUGCUGAUUUAUGAAUUAUUUGAGCUACGGCUGAUAUUAAUCCAGAUUUGGCGUUUUGUUA